UUCAUGACUAAUUGCUGUAAUUUGUUUUGCUGUUUUUAUUCUUACAAAACAUUUUUGUAAGAGUUCCAAUACUUGUGGAUCAUCCACACACUUUGCAAACAUUUGGCAUGCAGACAAGACAGAGGUAGUCAAUGUACCCUUUGAGGAAAAACACCUUUUAUAUGACGUCUUCAAUUUACUUUAUUUGAAACUCUGAUCUGAAAAUAUUUGUCAACAAGACUUGUUAGUAGUGAGAAGUACCAACCAAGUUUCCUUUCAUAACUUAAUUUCUUAAAUGUCCCAAUCACUGGAUCUCCCAAAAAAAUAUUACAUCUUUUUAUUUUUGGUGCAAAUUACAAGUCCUUCUUUAUAUAAAAAUGAAAAGUGCUAGUCACACUUCAAUAAUAACAGCUCUUAAGUUUACUUGUUGUUCUUCUGUCUGUCAGCUAUCAACAAAAUUGUUUUAUACUUCGGGCAGCGCAUAACUAUUUGUGGACCAGAGUUCCAACGCACCUCGGUAAUCGCAUAUAGCUACUCCUGUCUCUUGCACAAAUGUUUCUCCUUUGUAAGACGCACUCUACUCUGUUGUCAAUACUGCUUUAAGUUCAGUGGAAACGACUGACUGAGGAAUCGAGAUGGCGGUGUUGGAACGUGUUGCUGAACGCUUGCUACGGUCAAGCUUUGUAGAUUUAGGUACUGGUACACUGGGAUCAUCUAUGUAUCUCUUACACUUCCGAAUGUGAUAGCUUUUAUUGUGGUUCAAUGGGAAAACGAGAAUAGCGUGAGUGUUGUAAAAGAGAAGAAAGUCGUUGGCGCCGUGGAGUUAAAAGAAGGGACAACAGUUGACAUAUGGACCGGUACAAACAAGGGUCGAGUGGCCAUCUGUAAAGCUACGAUUUUGAAAGUUUGUGAUGUCAAGGAAUCCAGAUACAAAAUGGUCAAGGUUCUUGUUGACAACCUCAUUCAAGGCCAACUCAUUGUGAGUCCAGGAAAAAAAUACAAACAGUACAAACAGCAGCUAAGUUUGCAGUUUAGGAUAACUUCAUUCUAAUUUAUUGUUACAGUUACAACAAGAUUUUAAUCAAAAAAUCAAUUUUAUUUGUCUGUAAUUAGCCCCUUCACUCCCAAGAAUAUAACUAUAUAAAUAUAACUUAAGAUAUUGUAUUUUAUGGAAAAGA